rnacentral:rRNA from 1 species
UGCAUAUCAAUAAGCGGAGGAAAAGAAACCAACAGGGAUUGCCUCAGUAACGGCGAGUGAAGCGGCAAAAGCUCAAAUUUGAAACCCUCGGGAUUGUAAUUUGAAGAUUUGGCAUUGGAGAAAGCUAACCCAAGUUGCUUGGAAUAGUACGUCAUAGAGGGUGACAACCCCGUCUGGCUAACCGUUCUCCAUGUAUUGCCUUAUCAAAGAGUCGAGUUGUUUGGGAAUGCAGCUCAAAGUGGGUGGUAAACUCCAUCUAAAGCUAAAUACUGGUGAGAGACCGAUAGCGAACAAGUACUGUGAAGGAAAGGUGAAAAGAACUUUGAAAAGAGAGUGAAAUAGUAUGUGAAAUUGUUGAUAGGGAAGGAAAUGAGUGGAGAGUGGCCGAGGUUUCAGCCGCCCCUCGUGGGCGGUGUACUGCCGACGCCGAGUCAUCGAUAGCGAGACGAGGGUUACAAAUGGGAGCGCCUUUCGGGCGUUCUCCCCUAACCCUCCACACUGCCACCGACGACAUAAUCCACCCAUUUCACCCGUCUUGAAACACGG